rnacentral:rRNA from 1 species
UACGUAGGGUGCAAGCGUUAAUCGGAAUUACUGGGCGUAAAGCGUGCGCAGGCGGUUUUGUAAGUCUGUCGUGAAAUCCCCGGGCUCAACCUGGGAAUUGCGAUGGAGACUGCAAGGCUAGAAUCUGGCAGAGGGGGGUAGAAUUCCACGUGUGAGCAGUGAAAUGCGUAGAUAUGCGGAGGAACACCGAUGGCGAAGGCAAUCCCCUGGACCUGUACUGACGCUCAUGCACGAAAGCGUGGGGAGCAAACAGG